ACCCAGAUGGCCCAAGUUUUUAGGGAGCGUGUAAUUGGCAUGCUGACUGCAGGAAUGUCCACCAGAGCUGUUGCCCG